rnacentral:rRNA from 1 species
GACGAACGCUGGCGGCGUGCUUAACACAUGCAAGUCGAACGAUGAAGCCUGAGCUUGCUCUGGUGAAUUAGUGGCGAACGGGUGAGUAACACGUGAGUAACCUGCCCUUGACUCUGGGAUAACUGCGGGAAACUGUAGCUAAUACCGGAUACGACCCUCGGAGGCAUCUCCUGGGGGUGGAAAGAAUUUCGGUCAAGGAUGGACUCGCGGCCUAUCAGCUAGUUGGUGAGGUAAAGGCUCACCAAGGCGACGACGGGCAGCCGGCCUGAGAGGGUGACCGGCCACACUGGGACUGAGACACGGCCCAGACUCCUACGGGAGGCAGCAGUGGGGAAUAUUGCACAAUGGGCGGAAGCCUGAUGCAGCAACGCCGCGUGAGGGAUGACGGCCUUCGGGUUGUAAACCUCUUUUAGCAGGGAAGAAGCGAGAGUGACGGUACCUGCAGAAAAAGCACCGGCUAACUACGUGCCAGCCGCCGCAGUAA